rnacentral:rRNA from 1 species
GCCUAAUACAUGCAAGACGAGCGAAAGGAUUAAGAGCUUGCUCUUAAGAAGUUAGCGGCGGACGGGUGAGUAACACGUGGGUAACCUACCCAUAAGACUGGGAUAACUCCGGGAAACCGGGGCUAAUACCGGAUAAUAUUUUGAACUGCAUAGUUCGAAAUUGAAAGGCGGCUUCGGCUGCCACUUAUGGAUGGACCCGCGUCGCAUUAGCUAGUUGGUGAGGUAACGGCUCACCAAGGCGACGAUGCGUAGCCGACCUGAGAGGGUGAUCGGCCACACUGGGACUGAGACACGGCCCAGACUCCUACGGGAGGCAUCUUUACCCACCCCCCCGCAAAGGACGAAAAGUCUGACAGAGCACCGCCGCGUGAGUGACGAAGGCCCCCGGGCCGAAAAACUCUGUUGUUAGGGAAAAACAAGGGCUAAGUGGAAUAAGCUGGCACCUUGACGGUACCUAACCAGAAAGCCACGGCUAACUACGUGCCAGCAGCCGCGGUAAUACGUAGGUGGCAAGCGUUAUCCGGAAUUAUUGGGCGUAAAGCGCGCGCAGGUGGUUUCUUAAGUCUGAUGUGAAAGCCCACGGCUCAACCGUGGAGGGUCAUUGGAAACUGGGAGACUUGAGUGCAGAAGAGGAAAGUGGAAUUCCAUGUGUAGCGGUGAAAUGCGUAGAGAUAUGGAGGAACACCAGUGGCGAAGGCGACUUUCUGGUCUGUAACUGACACUGAGGCGCGAAAGCGUGGGGAGCAAACA